CCGAAAGUCUUAUGUCGGUGCUAUUAUGUUGUCUGUUCACAAGUCCUAACAGGAGAAAUAUUAAUUAAAGUGUUAAUUAAUAAACGCUUCACUCUAGCGCUCCUCGUGUGGCGCUGCAGUUCCCCUCGCGGCCGGAGGGCAGCGCUGUUUCCCCAGUUGGUGAACUACCUCUAUUUGGUGAAGGACUCUAUGUUGUGAAAAUCUUUCAAAGUGUUAUUUUUCCGGUGUUUCCGGGACUCUUCUGGAGGUCUUGGUUUUUUGGGGGGGGGCCGUGGGACCGGGUCUCCCUGAGGACUUGUCCCUGCAGCUGCUUCGAAGGGUUUCUGAUCUUUUAAUGUUUUCCAUUGCAAAAACCCAAGUUAGCUCCACAGCUAAAUCCUAAAAGUCACGUCAGCUGCGCGGACUCGAAUAAAAAAAAAAAAGUUCCCCGCUGCGGCCGCGGACCGACGGGCGCGUUUCAACCGGACGCCAUUAAUAUAAAAAAGUGUGUUUUUGUGGCGCUGGGGUCGUCUCUUAGGCUCACUUUCGCGGCCGCUGGCUGCCGCUCGCGAGGCCUGCGGGGUCGGGCUUCCACCGGGCUCGAGUUAGAGCCCGACGCCGCCGUCGGUGGGUCGGAGGCCGGCCGCUUCGGCGCUGCCACCGCCGGGCCUGCGGAGCGAGAGGUAUGGAGCGGAUGGAGGUGGACCAGUGCGCAGCCGCAGCGGGCGGGGGCGGGGCGCUGCGCAGGUCGAACAGCGCCCCCAUGAUCACCAGCGUCAGUGACGGGAUGACGGUCUUCAGUCCGGUGUCCUCGGCUCGAUACAGACGCAGCAGUGUGUCCAUCAACCCCAGCUGCCCCUCACAGCUCGUCCCCGUCUCUCCUUUCUCUCUGACCGGAGACAGAGCCGACCACAAGAAGCAGGAGGAGAACAUGGAGAUGAUGCUCAGAGGAGGUCUGCAGAGACGAAGUGCUUCCAGUCUGGUCCCAGUCCCCCCAGUCAGUCAGUGGCACAACCACACGUCAGUGGUGAGCAGCGGGCUUUUAUUCUGGUGGUUUGUGGCCGCGCUUCC
rnacentral:lncRNA from 1 species